ensembl:lncRNA novel transcript
GACAACUCGCGGGGAUUGUUUUCCACACCGUGGAAGCUUUGUUCUUUUCGUUUUUUGCAAUAAAUCUUGUUGCUGCUCGCUUUUUGGGUCCACAUUGCUUUUAUGAGCUGUACCACUCACCGUGAAGAUCUGCAGCUUCACUUCAGAGCCUAGCGAGACCACAAGCUCACUGAGAGGAACAAACAACUCCAGACGCGCUGUCUUAAGAGCUAUAACACUCACCGCGAAGGUGUGCAGUUUCACUCCUGAGCUAGUGAGACUACGAAGCCACUGGAACGAAGAAACUCCAACCACGUUUGAACAUCAGAAGGGGCAGACUCCAGACGCUUCAUCUUAAGAGCUGUAACACUCACUGUGAAGGUCUGCAGCUUCACUCCUGAGCCAGCGAGACCACGAACCGAUCUGAACAUCAGAAGGGACAGACUCCAGAUGCCCCACCUUAAGAGCUGUAAUACUCACUGCAAGGGUCUGCAGCUUCAUUCUUGAAGUCAGACCAAGAACCCAGCAAUUCCCAACACACAGGGACCAGCUUCUUUCCUAACUCACUUAGGCUCUUCGUGCUGCUCUGGCAACUAACACCCUUGGCUGCAGGGGCUUGGACACUACCCUUAGUCACUGACAAUUGUGUGAAGGCUGCUGUCGUUAACUUCACUUGAUCACCUUAGGCUCCUGUGAAGUGGUGAGCAAUUCAAACAAAUUCCUGUCGUCAAAUCAUAUGGAGAAAUUGCACUGCAGAGAAAUCUUUAAAAGCAAUUACCUAAUACUGCAGAUUGCUGAACUGUACCCACACCCAAGACUGAGCAUUGGAUCAAUCCAGAAUAUACAUCAGGUGUUCUGCAAUGUCUGCCUAAAACCAUGACUCUGCCUCCUCCAGCUGUUGCUACAUCUCACUAUGGGUUUCCUGUGACAUUUUGAGCAAGUAUGCCUCUGUGACUGGGGUUCUUACACUCCAGAAUGGAUGAGAAGCACCCCUCCUGUGGAGCCGGCCGUGGAAACGCCCUGACAUGGAGUCAGAAGCCCGAGCCCGUGUUUCAGACUUGGCGUUCAUUGACCAGAAGAGCUGCUUCACCACUUAACCAUGCAGCUUCAAGGGCUCCAUCUGCAAAACGCAGGCUUGAACCACAGGACUGGUUAUGCUCCUUCUUGUUCUGUGUCCUCUAAAUCCACCCCGUGGGAUGGUUCUCAUCCUCAUUUCUAGGAAAACAAGGCCCAGGUGGAAUCUCUUUUCUCAUCUGCAGGACUGAUGCCUUUCUUGGCCUAAAUUUCAACAACAUGUGACUAUAAAACUUACCUGUGUGUGAACCCUACAGAUAUUUGCGGGGGUGUUGUGUGGGGAGAUGACCCCAUGGUGGGCCCCUAGCGCCGGCCUCUUGCUAUCAUGCUGAGCACGCCCACCUUGCCGCAGCCUAGGAUCUCCCUUUCCCACCGGCACUCUCUUGCCUGGAGUGUGGAUCCACUGUGGCUUUCCCUCGCCCCAUCCUCCAGCUUGGUGGGUAGUAAUAUCUUCUGUCCCUCUUUAGACUCGGGGGCCUAACUGGAAAACAGGUGCAUUGGUAGAUUUAGUAGCAGAGGAGUCCAAGAGUUCUAGUGCUCUACAUGGGCAUGAGACCAAAGCCCAUAAAUACAUGUUCGCGGGGUGCCUACUGUAUACCCAAUGCUGUAAGGUAGUGUCCCCAAAGCAUACUGCUGCAGAACACUAGUUUUGUGGGGUGUUCAACGAUAUUACCUGGAGAAAAGAGUCCAGAAUCUAACAAGUUUGGGAAACUCUGGAUUAAAUAAGGUUAACUAUGUUUCUUUUAGGUAGUCCUUCUCAGAGACUUAAGAUGAGAGCAUGCAUUGGGAACUUCCAAAAUGGGAGAUGCAGUGGGAGGCACUCCCAUAGUUAGGUAACCAGGCAGCCCCUUUUUACUUAUUUUAUUUUAUUUUUUUGAGAUGGAGUCUUACUAUGUUACCCAGGCUGGACUCAAACUUCUGAGCUCAAGCAGUUAUCCCACCUCAGCCUUAUCCCACCUCAGCCUCCUAAGUAGCUGGGACUACAGGCACGAGCCACCACACCUGGCUUUUUUAAAAACAAAGGACCAUAUUUUGGAAACACAUAGGCCCUGUAGCACACAGACCCAUGGGAUCUCCUGGCCACCUGGCCCAGCCCAUCUUCCGCAGAUAUGAAUCCUGGACCUGAGGGAGAAGCGAAGCAACUUGCCCCAGGGCCCCACGGCUAACACUGUAGGCCACGCUUCCCAUUUCUCAGCUGAAAUAAAAGGUAUGUUUUUGUUGCAAAUAUUUAGUUGACCAUUAAUUUACCUAAAACCAGUGACUC